GGGCCCGCACAAGCGGUGGAGCAUGUGGUUUAAUUCGAUGCAACGCGAAGAACCUUACCUACUCUUGACAUCCAGAGAAGCCAGCGGAGACGCAGGUGUGCCUUCGGGAGCUCUGAGACAGGUGCUGCAUGGCUGUCGUCAGCUCGUGUUGUGAAAUGUUGGUUAAGUCCCGCAACGAGCGCAACCCUUAUCCUUAGUUGCCAGCACAUAAUGGUGGGAACUCUAAGGAGACUGCCGGUGACAAACCGGAGGAAGGUGGGGACGACGUCAAGUCAUCAUGGCCCUUACGGCCUGGGCUACACACGUGCUACAAUGGCUAGGACAGACGGCUGCAAACCAGCGAUGGG
rnacentral:rRNA from 1 species